rnacentral:rRNA from 1 species
ACGGGUGAGUAACACGUGGAUAACCUACCUAUAAGACUGGGAUAACUUCGGGAAACCGGAGCUAAUACCAGAUAACAUGUUGAACCGCAUGGUUCAACAGUGAAAGACGGUCUUGCUGUCACUUAUAGAUGGAUCCGCGCCGCAUUAGCUAGUUGGUAAGGUAACGGCUUACCAAGGCAACGAUGCGUAGCCGACCUGAGAGGGUGAUCGGCCACACUGGAACUGAGACACGGUCCAGACUCCUACGGGAGGCAGCAGUAGGGAAUCUUCCGCAAUGGGCGAAAGCCUGACGGAGCAACGCCGCGUGAGUGAUGAAGGUCUUCGGAUCGUAAAACUCUGUUAUUAGGGAAGAACAAAUGUGUAAGUAACUAUGCACGUCUUGACGGCACCUAAUCAGAAAGCCACGGCUAACUACGUGCCAGCAGCCGCGGUAAUACGUAGGUGGCAAGCGUUAUCCGGAAUUAUUGGGCGUAAAGCGCGCGUAGGCGGUUUUUUAAGUCUGAUGUGAAAGCCCACGGCUCAACCGUGGAGGGUCAUUGGAAACUGGAAAACUUGAGUGCAGAAGAGGAAAGUGGAAUUCCAU